UACGAAGGGUGCAAGCGUUACUCGGAAUUACUGGGCGUAAAGCGUGCGUAGGUGGUGCGUUAAGUCUGUCGUGAAAGCCCCGGGCUCAACCUGGGAAUGGCGAUGGAUACUGGCUCGCUAGAGUGCGGUAGAGGAGAGUGGAAUUCCCGGUGUAGCAGUGAAAUGCGUAGAGAUCGGGAGGAACAUCAGUUGCGAAGGCGGCUCUCUGGACCAGCACUGACACUGAGGCACGAAAGCGUGGGGAGCAAACAGG
rnacentral:rRNA from 1 species